UACGGAGGAUCCGAGUGUUAUCCGGAUUUAUUGGGUUUAAAGGGAGCGUAGGCGGCCCGCUAAGUCAGGGGUGAAAGACGGUGGCUCAACCAUCGCAGUGCCCUUGAUACUGGCGGGCUUGAAUGUAGUUGAGGUGGGCGGAAUGUGACGAGUAGCGGUGAAAUGCAUAGAUAUGUCACAGAACGCCGAUUGCGAAGGCAGCUCACCAAGCUAUGAUUGACGCUGAGGCUCGAAAGCGUGGGGAGCGAACAGG
rnacentral:rRNA from 1 species